rnacentral:rRNA from 1 species
GACGAACGCUGGCGGCGUGCUUAACACAUGCAAGUCGAACGGAAAGGCCUUUUCGGAGGUACUCGAGUGGCGCACGGGUGAGUAACACGUGGGUGAUCUGCCCUGCACUCUGGGAUAAGCCUGGGAAACUGGGUCUAAUACCGGAUAGGACCGCACUUUAGUGUGUGUGGUGGAAAGUUUUUUCGGUGUAGGUUGAGCCCGCGGCCUAUCAGCUUGUUGGUGGGGUAAUGGCCUACCAAGGCGGCGACGGGUAGCCGGACUGAGAGGUUGGUCGGCCACAUUGGGACUGAGAUACGGCCCAGACUCCUACGGGAGGCAGCAGUGGGGAAUAUUGCACAAUGGGCGCAAGCCUGAUGCAGCGACGCCGCGUGGGGGAUGACGGCCUUCGGGUUGGAAACUCCUUUCGCCAGGGACGAAGCGUUUUGUGACGGUACCUGGAGAAGAAGCACCGGCUAACUACGUG